UAGCGUAACACCUCUAGUACUUCUUGGUGUGUACUUGACCACCUAGGAAGGCGAGGCAAGGAAGCCGAGCCAGCCUGAGUUCGCCAGGAUGGCGAAUCGAAGGCGUUUCCGUAUCCAUUACUCAAACUCACCGUACACACCUAGAAGUACUAAGGUGUGCAGCGU
rfam:Anaerosporobacter mobilis DSM 15930 genome assembly, contig: EJ17DRAFT_scaffold00014.14